GUCAGAUAUGGUGACAUGGUUCCAAAGACCAUCAUGGGGAAGAUCUUCGGCUCGGUGUGUUCUCUGAGCGGCGUGCUCGUCAUCGCUCUACCUGUGCCCGUCAUUGUGUCCAAC